GUCUAUGGCCAUGCCACCCUAAACAUGCCUGAUCCCGUCUCAUCUCAGAAGCUAAGCAGGGUCGGGCCUGGUUAGUACUUGGAUGGGAGACCACCUAGGAAGACCAGGUCCUGUAGGUG
rnacentral:rRNA from 1 species